rnacentral:rRNA from 1 species
UUAAGCGACUAAGCGUACACGGUGGAUGCCCUGGCAGUCAGAGGCGAUGAAGGACGUGCUAAUCUGCGAAAAGCGACGGCGAGGUGAUAUGAACCUUUGACCCGUCGAUGUCCGAAUGGGGAAACCCAGUGNCACUAUCGUUAACUGAAUACAUAGGUUAACGAGGCGAACCGGGGGAACUGAAACAUCUAAGUACCCCGAGGAAAAGAAAUCAACCGAGAUUCCCCCAGUAGCGGCGAGCGAACGGGGAGCAGCCCGGAGUCUGAAUCAGCUUGUGUGUUAGUGGAAGCGUCUGGAAAGUCGCACGGUACAGGGUGACAGUCCCGUACACGAAAAUGCACAGGUUGUGAACUCGAAGAGUAGGGCGGGACACGUGGUAUCCUGUCUGAAUAUGGGGGGACCAUCCUCCAAGGCUAAAUACUCCUGACUGACCGAUAGUGAACCAGUACCGUGAGGGAAAGGCGAAAAGAACCCCGGCGAGGGGAGUGAAAAAGAACCUGAAACCGUGUACGUACAAGCAGUGGGAGCACCUUCGUGGUGUGACUGCGUACCUUUUGUAUAAUGGGUCAGCGACUUAUAUUCUGUAGCAAGGUUAACCGUAUAGGGGAGCCGCAGGGAAACCGAGUCUUAACUGGGCGUUAAGUUGCAGGGUAUAGACCCGAAACCCGGUGAUCUAGCCAUGGGCAGGUUGAAGGUUGGGUAACACUAACUGGAGGACCGAACCGACUAAUGUUGAAAAAUUAGCGGAUGACCUGUGGCUGGGGGUGAAAGGCCAAUCAAACCGGGAGAUAGCUGGUUCUCCCCGAAAGCUAUUUAGGUAGCGCCUCGUGAACUCAUCUUCGGGGGUAGAGCACUGUUUCGGCUAGGGGGCCAUCCCGGCUUACCAACCCGAUGCAAACUACGAAUACCGAAGAAUGUUAUCACGGGAGACACACGGCGGGUGCUAACGUCCGUCGUGAAGAGGGAAACAACCCAGACCGCCAGCUAAGGUCCCAAAGUCAUGGUUAAGUGGGAAACGAUGUGGGAAGGCACAGACAGCCAGGAUGUUGGCUUAGAAGCAGCCAUCAUUUAAAGAAAGCGUAAUAGCUCACUGGUCGAGUCGGCCUGCGCGGAAGAUGUAACGGGGCUAAACCAUGCACCGAAGCUGCGGCAGCGACGCUUAUGCGUUGUUGGGUAGGGGAGCGUUCUGUAAGCCGUCGAAGGUGUGCUGUGAGGCAUGCUGGAGGUAUCAGAAGUGCGAAUGCUGACAUAAGUAACGAUAAAGCGGGUGAAAAGCCCGCUCGCCGGAAGACCAAGGGUUCCUGUCCAACGUUAAUCGGGGCAGGGUGAGUCGACCCCUAAGGCGAGGCCGAAAGGCGUAGUCGAUGGGAAACAGGUUAAUAUUCCUGUACUUGGUGUUACUGCGAAGGGGGGACGGAGAAGGCUAUGUCAGCCGGGCGACGGUUGUCCCGGUUUAAGCGUGUAGGUGUGUGUUCCAGGCAAAUCCGGUUCACUUUAACACUGAGGCGUGAUGACGAGGCACUACGGUGCUGAAGUGAUAAAUGCCCUGCUUCCAGGAAAAGCCUCUAAGCAUCAGGUAACACGAAAUCGUACCCCAAACCGACACAGGUGGUCAGGUAGAGAAUACCAAGGCGCUUGAGAGAACUCGGGUGAAGGAACUAGGCAAAAUGGUGCCGUAACUUCGGGAGAAGGCACGCUGAUAUGUAGGUGAAGUCCCUGCGGACGGAGCUGAAAUCAGUCGAAGAUACCAGCUGGCUGCAACUGUUUAUUAAAAACACAGCACUGUGCAAACACGAAAGUGGACGUAUACGGUGUGACGCCUGCCCGGUGCCGGAAGGUUAAUUGAUGGGGUUAGCGGCAACGCGAAGCUCUUGAUCGAAGCCCCGGUAAACGGCGGCCGUAACUAUAACGGUCCUAAGGUAGCGAAAUUCCUUGUCGGGUAAGUUCCGACCUGCACGAAUGGCGUAAUGAUGGCCAGGCUGUCUCCACCCGAGACUCAGUGAAAUUGAACUCGCUGUGAAGAUGCAGUGUACCCGCGGCAAGACGGAAAGACCCCGUGAACCUUUACUAUAGCUUGACACUGAACACUGGUCCUUGAUGUGUAGGAUAGGUGGGAGGCUUUGAAGCGUGGACGCCAGUCUGCGUGGAGCCGUCCUUGAAAUACCACCCUUUAAUGGCUGGUGUUCUAACGUGGACCCGUGAUCCGGGUUGCGGACAGUGUCUGGUGGGUAGUUUGACUGGGGCGGUCUCCUCCCAAAGAGUAACGGAGGAGCACGAAGGUUAGCUAAUCCUGGUCGGACAUCAGGAGGUUAGUGCAAUGGCAUAAGCUAGCUUGACUGCGAGAGUGACGGCUCGAGCAGGUGCGAAAGCAGGUCAUAGUGAUCCGGUGGUUCUGAAUGGAAGGGCCAUCGCUCAACGGAUAAAAGGUACUCCGGGGAUAACAGGCUGAUACCGCCCAAGAGUUCAUAUCGACGGCGGUGUUUGGCACCUCGAUGUCGGCUCAUCACAUCCUGGGGCUGAAGUAGGUCCCAAGGGUAUGGCUGUUCGCCAUUUAAAGUGGUACGCGAGCUGGGUUUAGAACGUCGUGAGACAGUUCGGUCCCUAUCUGCCGUGGGCGCUGGAGAAUUGAGGGGGGCUGCUCCUAGUACGAGAGGACCGGAGUGGACGCAUCACUGGUGUUCGGGUUGUCAUGCCAAUGGCACUGCCCGGUAGCUAAAUGCGGAAGAGAUAAGUGCUGAAAGCAUCUAAGCACGAAACUUGCCCCGAGAUGAGUUCUCCCUGAGACUUUAAGUCUCCUGAAGGAACGUUGAAGACGACGACGUUGAUAGGCCGGGUGUGUAAGCGCAGCGAUGCGUUGAGCUAACCGGUACUAAUGAACCGUGAGGCUUAACCUU